UAACGCGAAGAACCUUACCUGGUCUGGACAUCCUACUGAAUAGCUAUGUAAUGUAGUUAGUCUUCGGACAGUAGAGGCAGGUGGUGCAUGGUUGUCGUCAGCUCGUGUCGUGAGAUGUUAGGUUAAGUCCUGCAACGAGCGCAACCCUUGUUGCCAGUAGCCAAUAUUAAGUUAGGCACUCUGGCGAGACUGCCGAGGUUAACUCGGAGGAAGGUGGGAUGACGUCAAAUCAUCAUGCCCCUUAUGAUCAGGGCUACACACGUGCUACAAUGGCGGAGAACAAAGAGAAGCGAAAGGGUGACCUAGAGCAAAUCUUAUAAAAGCCGUCUCAGUUCGAAUUGUAGUCUGCAACUCGACUACAUGAAGCUGGAAUCGCUAGUAAUCGCGAAUUAGCAUGUCGCGGUGAAUGCGUUCCCGGGUCUUGUACACACCGA
rnacentral:rRNA from 1 species